GUCCUCCGAUCUUGAUCGGCCGUUAGGGCUGCGGCCGCCGCGGUGGAGGCCGAUGGCAGAGGGGGGCCACUCCCCCGGUCACGGAGGAGUGUGGCCGGAGAUCGAUUCCGAUCGCCGGCGCCGAAAAAAUCCAAGGAAAAAUGGCCCAAAAACAGGGGUCUUUCCCGACCAGAAAUCGGCGAUGCUCGUCACCGGCCACCUCAAGCAAGGGUACAGGAAGAUAGGGGAGGA
rnacentral:lncRNA from 1 species